rnacentral:misc_RNA from 1 species
GAAGAGGAAGCGCCGAAAGAUGAGACAGAGAUCGAAGUAGAACCACAUUCUGCAGUUCUCAACGGUCUAUUUAUGCUUAUCGUCUUCGUUAGGCUUAUGCUGUUUAAGCUUUAGUUUGAAACUUCCAGUAACAUUUUGAGUUUUGAUUUUGUUCUAAUCACACCGAAUACAAAUUUUUGGUAUCCGAUUUUGGCUAUGGAUUUAUGCUUCAUAUUAU